rnacentral:rRNA from 1 species
GACGAACGCUGGCGGCGUGCUUAACACAUGCAAGUCGAACGCUGAAGCUUGGUGCUUGCCCUGGGUGGAUGAGUGGCGAACGGGUGAGUAAUACGUGAGUAACCUGCCCUUGACUCUGGGAUAAGCCUGGGAAACUGGGUCUAAUACUGGAUACGACAUGCCACUGCAUGGUGGUGUGUGGAAAGGGUUCUGCUGGUUUUGGAUGGGCUCACGGCCUAUCAGCUUGUUGGUGGGGUAAUGGCCUACCAAGGCGACGACGGGUAGCCGGCCUGAGAGGGUGACCGGCCACACUGGGACUGAGACACGGCCCAGACUCCUACGGGAGGCAGCAGUGGGGAAUAUUGCACAAUGGGCGGAAGCCUGAUGCAGCGACGCCGCGUGAGGGAUGACGGCCUUCGGGUUGUAAACCUCUUUCAGCAAGGAAGAAGCGAGAGUGACGGUACGUGCAGAAGAAGCGCCGGCUAACUACGUG